GAGUGAGCUGAGUGAACUGAGUGCGCUGUAAACAGCCAUUGUGUCGACUCAGGUGAAGGGGAAGACAAGAAUGUCUCCGAUUAAGCGAUUAAGGUGUUUUGUUGUUGGAUGUAAUAAUGAAUAUAGCAGUCGUCAUUUACUCCCGACAUCUGAGCCGCUGAAGAUGCAGAGGAUUAAAGUUACUUUCUCUUUGAAGUGAAUGCGCCAAUCAUCAAUCUGCAUAAAUGUUAGCGCAAAUCAUUCGUGAUCCAGCUUCAUCUACAGAAGUAAUUCUUGAGAGUUGUCAUGCAAACUGGAUAAAAGAACGUUGCAAAUUCCUGCUUGAAUUCUUCCAGAUUGGACCACACUGUCACGGUGCACACAGCAGGGAGGAACGAGGAACACGCAGACGAGGAGUAACUUCAAAAU